CAAUGCUCUCAACAUAAUUUAAUUUCCAUCUCUGUUCCGGCUCUCCUGGCCUUCCUCGACCUAUACGCCAUCGCCGCCGCCGCCGCCCAUCGACGUCGCCGUCGCCGCCAUCACACGAUGUCGCCGCCGCUGCCGCGGACUCCUUCCCGACGCUCAGGGCGCUGCGGUAGAACUGCGCUUGGCUGCAGUGCGUGUUCCCGGCGCCAUUGCCGACCGUCGGUGCGCCACCGUGCUGGCACCUCGACGGGCUGCUCGAGGUAAUGGCCGUGAGGUGUACAAGUUGACCUGACGCUGCAAUCGCUCUAAUAAAAAGGGCCACGAUUCAAUCGAUCCCCAUGUCAUCCUAAACUUCAGAUUUCCAUCCAACUCAACAAUCGAUCUGGAAAAAGGUCAUAGACUCACAAUCCCUUUCUUCUUCUUUCUUGAAUCAUCUCAGAUUUCAGGUUCUGACUAUGAGGCUUCCCAACAUAAUUUUACUAGGCCAAUUAUUGAAUCAAUCUUACACCGGUUGAUGCAGCGGAGGAGGAGGCGGCUGCAGUAGGCAGUAAGGCUGCCGAGUGAAGGGACUACAGGGGAUUGCUGGCGCCACGAUCCCUGCUCUGUUCUUAAAUCCUUUAAAUCCAUCACAGAAGAUACAUGCAUACAAUUGGCUUGAUCCCUAAUGUUUGGACAAGAAAAAAAGUUGGUUGUGUACAUGCGUAUCCAUAAGUGGUCCUUUUGACUUGAUUGUGUGAUGUAGGAAGAGAAAGCAUGCAAGUUGCCAUGGUCUGCAUAACGACAUUGCUUCCAGUGACACCAAAGAUAUAUAUGGCUACACAUCGGAUUAACUGGAUGGUACAUCCGAUCAUCCAUCCAUUACACGGAAGUACGAUGCUUAGAAUUUGAAUAUUUUUCCAUGUCUUUAACUGCUAAAUUGUGCAGUUUCGUUUUUGUUAGAUCAGGUAGUCAGAUUUUAAAACUAUUGGCCAUACAAUUAUUAGCUUCAAGUACUACUUGAGCUGCACAGGUGAGCAUAAUACUAUGUUCGUCAGUGCAAACUGUUUUGUGUAAUAUUUUUGCAAAUAUGGUCAAUGUAUAGUGUUUUUUGUAAUA